UGUUCCGUGUUAUGAAACCUGGUGAGGGUUUUCACCCUCAGAAUAUAAGGGUAAGCUAUAGGACGGUGCUUUCGUGCACGAUCGUAACACCAAGCGUUCUUCGUCAAUGAAUCAUUGAUGAGUGAACGAUGGGGUCGUGGGAUGUCGCAGCUGCGAUGGCGGCUCUUCUUCUGCGGUCACAACUGCAACCCUUACGCUUGCUCGCGACCCCUUCGUAUCUUCUGCCUUCAAUUUCUCCUUUUCCUUACCGGCAUUUUUCCCCUUUACUUCUCCCUGGAAAGACAGGAAUAACAGGUGAUCACGAUAUGGUUUACCGAUAUAUGCUGCACUGUUUACAUAAUGAAUAACUAGUAUCGAUAUGGGGAAAAUAUUCCCUAUACCAGUUGCACAAUCUCACUCUUUUACUUCUGUACAAAGGCACUACCUUGGAAUUGGAUGGACUCUACUUUCCUAUGGGAAAACAUAUACGCUUUAUUAAGUACAAAGUCACGUUGCGUUCGACCGGCAACUCACGUUUUUGUGAUGAAUAAGUAAACGUGGGGGUAUGUCACCUGUUCGGAAAUACGAAGAACAAUAAUUUCUUUGAAUAGGAUGCAUAAUGGAGAGGAUCAUGUCUAUGGGGUUUGGUAGAACCAUCAUCCUGCUGUCUAUGGUUGCCUGUAUAACGCGAAAGGAUUCCUGGUAUUUUUCAAGGUAUUAUCUGGACCCAACUACUGUGUGGGUCCUACAGACCCAGUGGGACCGGUGAGCAUUUAAUAAACUGAUUCAAUAAAUCCGUGCCUAGAGGCACUUUUAGAAGAGCAUCUCUCUUGCUCUGAGCUCGUUGCGACGUUCACGAUUAAUUCGAAUGAAUUAAUGUGAACCGUUGACACUGAGGCCCAGGGUUAAGUCGACCAUUGGGGCCCUACGGCCUCUCGGGACAAAUCUCUUCUGCUUUGUCCAGUGGACUCGACACGGCUCCAAUAUCCCUGGAAUUUUAUUAAGAUAUUUUCUGACUCACCUUUAUUUUUCUCAAUGAACGAAUCAUACCACGAAAUGACGAUUUCGUACGAGGCCAAUGCAGGAAUUAUGAUUGGUGUGGGCUGUGGGGCCACUUGAUCGCUUAUUGACCACUGUUGACUCGUGUUGACACCGCAGACCUUAGUUAGGUGGAUAAAUAUACUGAAGAGUCCCGGGUCAAGUGGAUAUCAGCACCGCCUCCGUCGCCCACGCCAGGUUACACAAACUAGGUCGACAAGGAGAUCACAUUAGAAGGAAAGACUUGGCUCACAGAGUUGUCGGACUUGUCGUGGGCGCGUAACAAAGAUCAAAAUGCCGCUCGCUGUCCGAGAGAGUCACAAGAGUGACGUCCAUGCGAUACUAACGUGCGUGAAUAUAUCUGGUGAAAAAGAGUCAUUGUGAGAAGCCACUCGGCUGUCGCACGGAAAGGAAAGGAGAGCGUUUAGAAUUUCAUUCAGGUGAAAAAGUGAACGCAAGGAUUUAUGUGCCACAUGUGGCAUUUAUGUACGUCACGAAAUUCUUUUGUCACAUUGACUCUCUGGACUGCCAGGCGAGACAUUUUUUUUCUUUGGAGACUCUUCAGCGUCUUCUUCAAAGUGGAGAACGAAGAUCUUGACCGUCCAAGAGGCUGAGAGACUAGAGAGCGUCUUCUGGAUCCCGCUGAGAGAAGAGAGAGAGCAAGGGGAGGAUAUGAAGAGAUAGCAGAUAGAGAGUAGAGAGAGAGGAGAAAGAGAGGACGUCACUAUCACCCUAUUCGUUCACCUCUCACGAGGAUUCGCGUCUGAUUCGUUGCUUUCCAAUGGCGUGGGCGGUUCCCCCAGGUAUCCAUAUCCGGUUUGGGCAGGGCUCUACUUCACCCUCAUCCUCAUCUUCCUACAGUGUAUAUUCGUAUAUACUGGUGUAUAAAUACUGAUAGAGUUUCAAGCAACGUAAAUAUAUUUAUU